AUUGCUGAUGUUGGUAUGGAUUCAUGGAUGUUAUGUAUAUUGCAUACCUUGUAAUAAGAUAAUAGUAAUACCCUAGUCAGAUGUGUUCAUUUUAGGUUGGUUUUUGUUUCUUGUGGCUGAAGUUAUUGUAAUUGCUAGGUUGGAAAUGGAAUUGUUCUGUACAGGAAGUGGUAUUAGGUUAUAAGUGCAGAUUGGUGUUAUGGUGAGGGAAUACACAUUUCAGAAUGUUUAGCUUGAUAACAUCUCUGAAUAUUAGCGCUCAUUCUCUGUUUUGUUUGAGAAGGCUGUCGGUUGUCUAUUGAUGGUAAUGUUAUACAUUAACAUUCAUAUCGACUGUCUUAUUUUGUAUAUAAGCAUCUGAAAUACUAAACCUGUGAAGUACAAUGCAUGUUUGUAUUAGAUUAUUUUGCUUCACAUCAAGUCAGGUGAUCUUUGUGCUAUUUGCCAGGAAAAGAUGCAUGCUUCAAUUUUGUUGCUUUGCAAACGCUUCUUCUGUGAGGACUGUGUUUCUGAAUGAUGAGUUUUGUAGCUUCUGUUAUGAAUUAAAUGCUCAAAGUGCUGUAAGAGAAUAUUGAAAUGCUUGUUUCUUGUUUGAUAUGGAAUUGUUCAUUGUAUUUAUGCAUUUGAUACCAUCAGAAAUUUUUCAAGAAGUAAAUGGCACACAACCUAUCAACUGUUGCAAGCAUAAUUAUCAUGU
rnacentral:misc_RNA from 1 species